GAUGAACGCUGGCGGCGUGCCUAAUACAUGCAAGUCGAGCGAACAGACGAGGAGCUUGCUCCUCUGACGUUAGCGGCGGACGGGUGAGUAACACGUGGAUAACCUACCUAUAAGACUGGGAUAACUUCGGGAAACCGGAGCUAAUACCGGAUAAUAUAUUGAACCGCAUGGUUCAAUAGUGAAAGACGGUUUUGCUGUCACGUAUAGAUGGAUCCGCGCCGCAUUAGCUGGUUGGUAAGGUAACGGCUUACCAAGGCGACGAUGCGUAGCCGACCUGAGAGGGUGAUCGGCCACACUGGAACUGAGACACGCUCCAGACUCCUACGGGAGGCAGCAGUAGGGAAUCUUCCGCAAUGGGCGAAAGCUUGACGGAGCAACGCCGCGUGAGUGAUGAAGGUCUUCGGAUCGUAAAACUCUGUUAUUAGGGAAGAACAAAUGUGUAAGUAACUAUGCACGUCUUGACGGUACCUAAUCAGAAAGCCACGGCUAACUACGUG
rnacentral:rRNA from 1 species